rnacentral:rRNA from 1 species
UACGAAGGGGGCUAGCGUUGCUCGGAAUCACUGGGCGUAAAGCGCACGUAGGCGGCUUCUUAAGUCAGGGGUGAAAUCCUGGAGCUCAACUCCAGAACUGCCGUUGAUACUGGGGAUCUCGAGUCCGGAAGAGGUGAGUGGAACUCCGAGUGUAGAGGUGAAAUUCGUAGAUAUUCGGAAGAACACCAGUGGCGAAGGCGGCUCACUGGUCCGGUACUGACGCUGAGGUGCGAAAGCGUGGGGAGCGAACAGG